GGCUCUGUGGCUCAGUUGGUAGAGCAUGGUGUUUGCAAUGCCAGCAUGGUGUAUGCAACGCCAGGGUUCGAUUCCCAUGGGGGGCCA
rnacentral:tRNA from 1 species